rnacentral:rRNA from 1 species
UGCCCUACGGGAGGCAGCAGUGGGGAAUAUUGCACAAUGGGGGAAACCCUGAUGCAGCAACGCCGCGUGAGUGAAGAAGGUUUUCGGAUUGUAAAUCUCUGUUAGCAGGGAAGAGGAAGGACGGUACCUGCAGAGGAAGCCACGGCUAACUACGUGCCAGCAGCCGCGGUAAUACGUAGGUGGCAAGCGUUGUUUGGAAUAACUGGGCGUAAAGGAUGCGUAGGCGGUUAAACAAGAUACAUGUUAAAUAUCUAGGCUUAACCUGUAGAAAGCCUAUAAAACUGAUUAACUAGAGUGCAGGAGAG